rnacentral:rRNA from 1 species
AUUGAACGCUGGCGGCAGGCCUAACACAUGCAAGUCGGACGAGUGGCGGACGGGUGAGUAAUGUCUGGGAAACUGCCUGCUGGAGGGGGAUAACUACUGGAAACGGUAGCUAAUACCUCAUACCAUCAGAUGUGCCCAGAUGGGAUGAGCUUGUUGGUGUGGUAACGGCUCACCAAGGCGACGAUCCCUAGCUGGUCUGAGAGGAUGACCAGCCACAAUGGAACGGAGAAAGGGUCCAGACUCCUACGGGAGGCAGCAGUGGGGAAUAUUGCACAAUGGGCGAAAGCCUGAUGCAGCCAUGCCGCGUGGAUGAAGAGGGCCUUGGGGUUGUAAAGUACUUUCAGCGGGGAGGCGUUACCUGCAGAGGAAGCAACGGCUAACUCCGUGCCAGCAGCCGCGGUAAUAC